rnacentral:rRNA from 1 species
UACGGAGGGGGCUAGCGUUGUUCGGAAUUACUGGGCGUAAAGCGCACGUAGGCGGCUUUGUAAGUUAGAGGUGAAAGCCCAGGGCUUAACCCUGGAAUUGCCUUUAAGACUGCAUCGCUUGAAUCGUGGAGAGGUGAGUGGAAUUCCGAGUGUAGAGGUGAAAUUCGUAGAUAUUCGGAAGAACACCAGUGGCGAAGGCGACUCACUGGACACGUAUUGACGCUGAGGUGCGAAAGCGUGGGGGAGCAAACAGG